GGCGAACCUGCCCUCACCUUCAUCCUUCUCUUCCUCAUUACUCUGCUUUUCACCAUUGCAACUACUGCUUUCAAGGUUAAAUGAGGUGAACUUUCUGUAGAAUGUAUUUUCACAGUGUUUUUGCAUACAUUCAGAGUAUCAUGUAAGUAACCGUCUUUGUCCUUUAUUUUAUUACAAAAAACCAUGUCAUUAUGAUGUUUUUAAAAUAUUAACCAUUGACAUUGAAACUGCAAUAUUUUUCUCUUUUUCAAACUGUACUAUCUAUCAUUUCCACCACGAACAUUUUUGUCACAUAAUAAUCCUAUUUGUACAAUGUCUUGUUUUGAGCAAUCUGCAUUUGUGUGAUUUGUUUUUUCAAGUAAUAAAUUGCAUUUCUGUUAAUGACUUUUCCAGAAUCUUUUAAUGAACAACCCAUGAGAGAUUCAAGACAUGAAUGUGAACAUUUUACAGUUGCUUAUGUUCUUGAAUCUAUUAUUAAACCUUUAGCAAAGUUUGAAACCUAUUUAAUCAUGCAUGUAAAAUGAUAUGAGAUAUUUAAAUGUUAGUUCUGUUUCUUUUACUGGCAUAACCACACCUCACACCUGGUCUCUGUGAUGCACGGUUGCUCUUGUCUUUGUUUCACUUCUGUAAUUUGGUGCUUUUUUGAGAGCUGGGUGUUACUCAAUGCUUCCGCCUGCUGCUUACCCUGACCCCUCUGCCCUGUCAUACCGCCACAUCUGUGCAACAGACUCCCAGCCUUAUCUCCAAAUAACUUUUAAGAUACAAUUUAAAGGUACAACUCUGCCAUCUAGCCUGAAAAAAAGAUAUUACACUUAGUAUUGAGACAAACCUGAUUAUCUGGAGAACCGCUGGUUGUAUCUCCAAACAUCACAUUACAACCUGUCUGGGAAGGUGAAUUCAAAGCCUCAGGGGUCAGACUCAUCUGCACCUUGAGUG